rnacentral:rRNA from 1 species
UACGGAGGGGGGCUAGCGUUGUUCGGAAUUACUGGGCGCAAAAGCGCGCGUAGGCGGACCUGCAAGUCGGGGGUGAAAGCCCGAGGCUCAACCUCGGAACUGCCUUCGAUACUGCGGGUCUCGAGUCCCGGGAGGAGGUGAGUGGAAUUCCUGGUGUAGCGGUGAAAUGCGCAGAUAUCAGGAAGAACACCCGUGGCGAAAGCGGCUCUCUGGAAACGGGUACUGACGCUGAGACGCGAA